rnacentral:rRNA from 1 species
UACGAAGGGAGCUAGCGUUGUUCGGAAUCACUGGGCGUAAAGCGCACGUAGGCGGAUUUGUCAGUCAGGGGUGAAAUCCCGGGGCUCAACCUCGGAACUGCCUUUGAUACAGCAAGUCUUGAGUUCGAGAGAGGUGGGUGGAAUUCCUAGUGUAGAGGUGAAAUUCGUAGAUAUUAGGAAGAACACCGGUGGCGAAGGCGGCCCACUGGCUCGAUACUGACGCUGUGGUGCGAAAGCGUGGGAGCAAACAGG